CUCAUUUGUUUGCUCGUUUUGUUUUUGGCUGCUCAUUGCUGCUCAAAAAACCCAGGUGUAUGUUCGGUAGGGGCAGCUGCUUUGUACAGAGAAUCCCAGUGCUGCCUGCACCAAGAUGCAGUGGAGAGGUUCCAGACAUCCACAAGGUUCACGAAAGGAUCACUGAGAACUAGCCAAACAGAGCACCUCUCAGAAACUCUCCCACCUCAACACAAUCGAACAGGAAAGCCAACAGGACAGAGAACGAGGUCCAUGAAGAGACUCCGUUGCGAGUAGCUCUUACCACGUUAUCAACACUAAAUCAACAAGAAAGUGAAUGGUUACCCUGGGGCAGAAGCCGGAAGAGCCCAGAUCGAGAGAAUCAGACGUACUUAUAAAAUAAUCUGUAGGCUCAAUUUUAGAGAAAUGGUUUGCUCAGCUGUCUCUCACAGCCUAUGGACUAUAUUUUGUAUAAGAUGCAAGUUAUUGAGACAGACUUCUACAGGGGAAAAGCUGGAGCCACGUGGCUCUACUGUCUUAGCCCUCCAGGACGUUAAUUGGAAAUGUGGACUUUGCAGAGGUGACUCAGAUUGAGUCAGGAUGGAUUUAGGUGGGCCCCCUGAAUCUAAUCAGUGUUUUCCUUGUAAGAAACACAAUGCUAUAUGCGCAAGAAGGCAGCGUAAAACAAGCCAAAGUGUGCUGAGGAUGGCUGGAAGUCACUUGAUACCCUAAAACCAUGUUGGGUUCGGAUUUCUGGUCUCUAGAACUGUAAAAGAAUAAAUCUGUACUGUGUU
rnacentral:lncRNA from 1 species